UAUUAAUAUGGCUACUGAGUUUGUUGUCAUAACACGAAAUAUCAGCUGGUGGAGUUUGGCGUAAAGUGAAUAUCAGCCUCCUGAAGCAUAUCAGUGCCGAUACUUCGUGUUUAUUACUGUUGUGUUUUAUAUGAGAAAUGUUAAGAAGUUGUUAGAAAUAUGAAUACUUACGGAUUUUGAAAUAUAUUAGGACAUUUGUGCAUACCGACCAUGAGUAAUUCAAACUUGGAGAAAGCAGCUACCAGCAUACUUUGUCGUGCUGUUGAGCUAGAUGAGAAGCGUCGUUUCACUGAAGCACUGGUUUGUUACCAAGAGGGCCUACAACUUCUGGUGAAUUUUCUCAAAACUGAAGGAAAUGCCCAGAAAAAGUCAGCUGUUCGUGGGAAGAUUGAAAGUUAUAUGCAGCGUGCAGAGAAACUGAAAAAACAUAUAGAAACACAGAAAGAUGCUGGUAGUUUCCAUGAACAAGUUGUGAUUGACAACGAUUCAAGAGGUCAUAGUUACAAAAGUGUCUUUGGCCGUUUCCUUGAUGCAGAUGUUACAGGAGUCAGAGUAGAGGAUCCUUAUAUUAGAACAUUUCAUCAGUGCCAGAAUUUUCUUCGUUUAUGUGAGUUGCUGCUACAAUCCUGCAACAAUUUGAAGAGUAUUGUGUUGGUUACAUCAUCUCCACUUCAAGUGAAUGAGCAUACUAAUCAGAUGAAGUGGCUGCAGGAUAUUAGAACAAGUCUUCUGAAAGAGAAUGUUGAACUUGUUGUACAGCUUUCUCCAACACUUCAUGAUCGACAGAUUAGAUUGGACAAUGGAUGGAUCAUUAAAAUUGGUCGAGGACUUGACUAUUUCAAACCGCCAGAAAAUAAAUUUGCAGUUGGGAACUUUGAACUUGACUUCAGAUUUUGCUACCAGACCACAGUUGACAUUUAUCAUUCAAAGAAUUAAAGGCUAAAUGCUCUGGUAGUCCUCAGCUCAUGUUCUCGUUUCAUGGGGUCCCACGUUCGAUUCCUGGCGUGGUCAGGGAUUUUCACCUGCCUCGAGAUGACUGUGUGUUUGUGCUGUCAUCAUCAUUCCUAAAAGUGGUGAGAGUGGGCUGAGCAAAGGUUGGGAAUUUGUACGGGUGCUGAUAACCUCACAGUUGAGUGCUCCACAAACAAAUCAUCAUCAUCAUCAUCAUCAUCAUCAUCAUCAUCAUCCAGCUCUGGUAGAUGAAUAAUCAAGAAAUAAAAUACAACAGUUGGUAUGUCCCAUGUCACAUUCCAGGAUGCCACAGUGCAGAAUAAUGACUGCUGACACUCAGGAAAUGUCUGUGUUUAUCUUUUACUUAAUCAACCAUUGCACAAAGAAGGUGUUAUUUCAAUUUAGUGUAAGCUGAACUCUUCAGAAGCAUACAAUCUAAAGAGAGAGUAUUUAUUUGAGUUAUUCAAUUCUUACGUAAGUCUGUGGGCUUUCAUGGCCAGUUAAUUACUGAUAGAACAUUGAACUUUAUACUGAAUUUGAUUAUUUAUGGCACAUACAGUGAUGUGGAGUUCACUACGUUAGAGGGAAAAAAUGCCGAGACCUUUGGGUGACUUACAUACAUAUAUAUGGAAGUUCCUCACAGGGGAUAAACAAUAGCACCUGAAGAAGACUGCGAGUCACGAAGUGAAAUAUCAUGCAGGAAAGACGUGAAUAACCAGCAGAAACCCGAUUAAACAACAUGACAAUGCCUCGCUGGGAAAGCUUGAAGAAUUACAACAUAAUUGUGGUUAAACUUUUUUGUAUGACUUGAUAAGAGACUGACUGCUCAGUUCAGGUCAGAAAAUACUAUUUCUGCAUCAUGAAUAUUAUUUGAAACAAACACAUGAAAACAGUGUUUGAAUAUCAUAUUUACACACACAGUGGUUUGUAUUUAUAUGAACUAACUAAAAGUACAAAAUUUAAAGUUGUCAUUAUUUGACAAUGGCACUGUAGUUACUGUGUUUGACUGCAAGUUAAUGUCUUCCAUCAGUGUGGCUAGCUAUCAGCACCAGUUUUCUUCGACAACAGGCUCACAAACUGAUUCAGGUUCAGACACCUUUUUUAUAAUAGCAUUUCCUUGCCCAAAGUUUACAUUUUGUGCCAAUAAUGAUCUUUGUGUAAGUGUUACAUUGUAAAACCUUAAAAUAUUUAGGGACCACAUGUAUUUUUAAGGAGUAUUGCUUGUACAUGAAUUGUGAAUUUUACAUUUUUUUAACUUUAAUUAUAUUUUAUCUGGAGUUCCUAAAUGAUGAUGGGUAGGUAGGAAGUGUGUUAGUAAUCAUACCCUUUAAGCAGAUUUGCUAGACUCCAUUCAGAAAAAAAAAUGCUGGUUCCCACAGUUGUCCUUUCAUGCAAGUUUAAACUGAAUAAUGGUGACUGAGUGGACUAAACCAAGACUUGGUAGCACACAUCUGGUAAACAUGCACACAGGAAGCUUCAGCUAUUGAUGAAUGAAAAAUUUGUAUUGAAAAUUAAAUAUUUGUUACUUCAGUUGCCAGCUUUUUGGUCUGUUGACUGAAGCUUGUGUACUUAUAUAAUUUUAACAAGGUCAUGUGGGACUUUGGAUCCAUACUGUAAUAUUAAAAGAUAUUUUUUAUACUUUUUGUCAAAUGUUACAAUAUAUUGUAAAAAAAGUUGAAGAGUCUAA